rnacentral:rRNA from 1 species
CUUUACUGUAGCUUUGUAUUGGACUUUGAACAGAUCUGUGUAGGAUAGGUGGGAGGCUUUGAAGUAGGGUCGCUAGAUCUUAUGGAGCCAACGUUGAAAUACCACCCUGGUGUGUUUGAGGUUCUAACCUUGGUCCCUUAUCGGGAUCGGGGACAGUGCAUGGUAGGCAGUUUGACUGGGGCGGUCUCCUCCAAAGCGUAACGGAGGAGUUCGAAGGUACGCUAGUUACGGUCGGGCAUCGUGACGAUAGUGCAAUGGCAUAAGCGUGCUUAACUGCGAGACUGACAAGUCGAGCAGAUGCGAAAGCAGGACAUAGUGAUCCGGUGGUUCUGUAUGGAAGGGCCAUCGCUCAACGGAUAAAAGGUA